GAUGAACGCUGGCGGCGUGCCUAAUACAUGCCAGUCGAGCGAACAGACGAGGAGCUUGCUCCUCUGACGUUAGCGGCGGACGGGUGAGUAACACGUGGAUAACCUACCUAUAAGACUGGGAUAACUUCGGGAAACCGGAGCUCAUACCGGAUAAUAUAUUGAACCGCAUGGUUCAAUAGUGAAAGACGGUUUUGCUGUCCCUUAUAGAUGGAUCCGCGCCGCAUUAGCUAGUUGGUAAGGUAACGGCUUACCAAGGCUACGAUGCGUAGCCGACCUGAGAGGGUGAUCAGCCACACUGGAACUGAGACACGGUCCAGACUCCUACGGGAGGCAGCAGUAGGGAAUCUUCCGCAAUGGGCGAAAGCCUGACGGAGCAACGCCGCGUGAGUGAUGAAGGUCUUCGGAUCGUAAAACUCUGUUAUUAGGGAAGAACAAAUGUGUAAGUAACUAUGCACGUCUUGACGGUACCUAAUCAGAAAGCCACGGCUAACUACGUG
rnacentral:rRNA from 1 species